AUUGAACGCUGGCGGCAGGCCUAACACAUGCAAGUCGAGCGGAUGAAGGGAGCUUGCUCCUGGCUUCAGCGGCGGACGGGUGAGUAAUUCCUAGGAAUCUGCCUGGUAUAGGGGGCUAACGUCAGUACACGGGCGCUAAUAUCGCAUACGUCCUGAGGGUGAACCUGGGGGUUCUUCGGAGCUCACGCUAUUAGCUGAGCCUAGGUCGGAUUAGCUAGUUGGUGGGGUAAAGGCCUACCAAGGCGACGAUCCGUAGCUGAUCUGAGAGGAUGAUCAGUCACACUGGAACUGAGACACGGUCCAGACUCCUACGGGAGGCAGCAGUGGGGAAUAUUGGACAAUGGGCGAAAGCCUGAUCCAGCCAUGCCGCGUGUGUGAAGAAGGUCUUCGGAUCGUAAAGCACUUUAAGUUGGGAGGAAGGGCAGUAAGUUAAUACCUGGCUGUUUUGACGGUACCAACAGAAUAAGCACCGGCUAACUUCGUG
rnacentral:rRNA from 1 species